rnacentral:rRNA from 1 species
AGAGUUUGAUCCUGGCUCAGGAUGAACGCUAGCGACAGGCUUAACACAUGCAAGUCGAGGGGCAGCGGAGGCAGUAGCAAUACUGCCUGCCGGCGACCGGCGCACGGGUGAGUAACACGUAUGCAACCUACCCUUGUCAGGGGGAUAAGCCGGAGGAAAUCCGGUCUAAUACCGCGUGACAUCGGGAUUCCGCAUGGGAUUCCGAUCAAAGGAAUUAUCCGGACAAGGAUGGGCAUGCGGCGCAUUAGCUUGUUGGCGGGGUAACGGCCCACCAAGGCGACGAUGCGUAGGGGUUCUGAGAGGAAGGUCCCCCACACUGGUACUGAGACACGGACCAGACUCCUACGGGAGGCAGCAGUGGGGAAUAUUGCACAAUGGGGGAAACCCUGAUGCAGCAACGCCGCGUGGGUGAAGGAGCGUUUCGGCGCGUAAAGCCCUGUCAGCGGGGAAGAAGAAAGACGGCACCCGACCAAGAAGCCCCGGCUAACUACGUGCCAGCAGCCGCGGUAAUACGUAGGGGGCGAGCGUUAUCCGGAAUUACUGGGUGUAAAGGGAGCGUAGACGGCGAGGUAAGCCUGAAGUGGAAGCCCGCGGCCCAACCGCGGAACUGCAUUGGGAACUGUUUUGCUGGAGUAUGGGAGGGGUAAGCGGAAUUCCUGGUGUAGCGGUGAAAUGCGUAGAUAUCAGGAGGAACACCGGUGGCGAAGGCGGCUUACUGGACCAUAACUGACGUUGAGGCUCGAAAGCGUGGGGAGCGAACAGGAUUAGAUACCCUGGUAGUCCACGCCGUAAACGAUGAUUACUAGGUGUCGGGGGGCCAAGGUCCUCCGGUGCCGGCGCAAACGCAUUAAGUAAUCCACCUGGGGAGUACGUUCGCAAGAAUGAAACUCAAAGGAAUUGACGGGGACCUGCACAAGCGGUGGAGCAUGUGGUUUAAUUCGAAGCAACGCGAAGAACCUUACCUGGUCUUGACAUCCGGACGCCGUAUGGGCAAAGCCAUAUUUCCUUCGGGACGUCCGAGACAGGUGGUGCAUGGUUGUCGUCAGCUCGUGUCGUGAGAUGUUGGGUUAAGUCCCGCAACGAGCGCAACCCCUGUUUCCAGUAGCCAGCAUAUAAAGAUGGGCACUCUGGAGAGACUGCCCGGGAUAACCGGGAGGAAGGCGGGGAUGACGUCAAAUCAUCAUGCCCCUUAUGAUCAGGGCUACACACGUGCUACAAUGGCGUAAACAAAGGGAAGCGAGACGGUGACGUUGAGCAAAUCCCAGAAAUAACGUCCCAGUUCGGAUUGUAGUCUGCAACCCGACUACAUGAAGCUGGAAUCGCUAGUAAUCGCGAAUCAGAAUGUCGCGGUGAAUACGUUCCCGGGUCUUGCACACACCGCCCGUCA